CAUCGCCGCGGGAAUACGGAGGGUGCAAGCGUUAAUCGGAAUUACUGGGCGUAAAGCGCACGCAGGCGGUCUGACAAGUCAGAUGUGAAAUCCCCGGGCUUAACCUGGGAACUGCAUUUGAAACUGUCAGGCUGGAGUCUUGUAGAGGGGGGUAGAAUUCCAGGUGUAGCGGUGAAAUGCGUAGAGAUCUGGAGGAAUACCGGUGGCGAAGGCGGCCCCCUGGACAAAGACUGACGCUCAGGUGCGAAAGCGUGGGGAGCAAACAGGAUUAGAUACCCCAGUAGUCCCUGUCUCUUAUACC
rnacentral:rRNA from 1 species